CCUUUGCUGCACAUGAUCGAGUGUUCUUCUUGACUUGUAAUGCAUCAAACUGACAAAUUAAUGUUUAACCAUUGCAUCUGCUCCCAGUCUUUCUUGUUUAUCAGUCAAAAGCAAAGCUUUGAUGAGCAAAUUCUUGGCAUAAUUAGUGUUUCCUGAUGCUUCUUUCAAUCGUGAUGUACUUGUGUGCCGGAUUUUGGUGCAGACAAUCGAAUGUUCUUUGACUUAUAAUGCAUUGAAGUGGAACAUUAUAAUCACAGGCAGACCCUUUCCUUUGCACUUUGCUUCAGCUCCACCCAUAGUGACACACAACAAUUUGCAUUAUAUUCUCCUUUUGUGCAGCUAAAUCUACCUCUUUGAACCCCAAGAAUCUUAAUAUGCCUUUCCUCUGUGUGCAUAUGCUCUCUGUUCUUCUGCUCCUCGGUCGGGAAGUGUUGACCUGAGCCAAAAGGCCAAGAAAAGCUAUUGGAUUCUACUGGUGGCGUCUGUCUCUUUUGCCCUUGUUCCGAGUCCGUGGCCUCCCCAUGCCCGUCAUCUUCUCUCUCCUUGUUGCUUCAAAAGUGUCAUUCCAUCUGCUGUCUGAUGGCACAAUCAUCUACUGCCCAUGUUCAUAUAAACAAUUGGAAUCCAGCUCCAGCACUUGAGAACUAUCAAGAACUCCAUCACUGCAUCAGAUUUAAUUGGCUCAAGUCUCUCUACCUUGAAACCUGGAGAGACAAAAGAAAAAGUCAGACUUUUUGAUGACACAAAUGAAUCACCUGUUGUUUCAGAUGGAUGAGCAAGGCAAUGCCCAAUGAACGCUUCUUCUUCUUCUCCCUCCUCUCCUGCCGCUCUUGCUCUGAUACCUUGCGAUGUAAGUGGCCACUGUUGGCUCCUCCCGAAAACGCUCAUUCUACCUCUGACCUUGAAACAACCCGAUCCAUGGAUCGCACACCUUGCGAAUCAUGCCCAUCUUGGAAUUCUCAACAGGAUUGGACCUAGUGCGGUCCAUAACAUGAACAACAGAGCCCACAAUUGCAUCAUCCGGACAACUCAUAAAAUGAGGGCCUUAUAGUCCAAUCCACCACCACCUCCGCCUCCCUGGCGACGUCGCAUUCCGCGACAAGUAUUCUUGCUUUAGGGAAAGAUUCUGAGAGAUAGGUUCACGGUUAAACCCUGACGCCGUGGAACUCGUUGUAAACGAUGCAAAGGACGCGGUCGAUGCCAGCAAGUGGGCGUCUUCAACCUUGGGACGCGACGCAAGCCAUGUUGCCUCACGACUCUUCUUAUAAUUCUGGAGGAGGAAGAAAGAUUGGAUAAUAAGAAGAUGCUGAAACGAUCACUAGAACUUCAAGAUAUAUUGAAUUGGUGAAAUAGAUGGGGGAUUCAAUGCCAAGGAUUAGAAAUGAAGGCAGCUGUACAGCCUCCCUGUAUUGUGCCAGAUUUCUGUAACUGUUUGUUCCUGGGACAUUCCCCAUGAUCACUGUGUUUGGCCUAGUAACAUGAACCAGAAUUUUGAAUAAAGAUACGCCCACCUGCAAAACAUGGAAAGAUUGUAAAACAGCAAAUUUUGGCGUAGUUAAAGCUAUGGCGAGGCCCGUCUGUACUGAGAUGAGAAGAACCCCAAAGAAAGCACUCAUACAAGCCAGGAAAUCAAAUUUAUCCACCUUCCACAGGAGAAAUGCACCUCCAACAUCGAUCAGUCCGAUCACUGCAACAAUAAUGAUCGCCGACAACAUGACGUUGGGAGUAUAAUAGAACAGUGGCAUGAGAAAUAGCAUGGUGAAGAGCACUGCAGAUGCCAUGACUAUGUUGGAUACUGCUGUUUUACAUCCAGCAUUGUAGUUUACAGCUGACCUUGAGAAUGAACCUGGGUUGUAUUUUCCAACAAAAGAACAAGCGAUUUUAUGCAUGAAGCACAUGACCCUGCCAUGUUCAUGGCUCCUAAGGCCACCAUCUCUUUGUUGCCAUCAAUCUGAUAAUUUUUCAGAGAAGCAAAUGUCCUCCCCACAGCCAUUCCUUCCUGUAACCCACAGUAAGUUCGUGCUUGUUAUUUCAAGAGGGAUGAACUCAGUCGUUUUUCCUUUUCAGCAAUGGAAGAUUUUGAAUCUACAAUUUACCAAAAUGAGUUGAAAGGUUUAGUGUGUUACAGUGAGAGCCAAGAUUCCAGUAAUUAUUCCAGUUCUGAUGGCAAGACUCAAGUAGGGGCCUCUAAAGAACAGCAUGUUCACUGAAGGAGGAUUCACCCCUUUCUGCAAAUGCCCAAUCUGUUUAACACCAAGAAGUUAGAACAAGAAGAAACAAAGAAACUUCAAUUUCUUUCUGGCAUGAAGAUUCUUACUGUUUUGAUGCCAUGGUUUUGAGCUUUGAAGAUAAAGGAAAGGACAGUGGAGAGAAUCACUGAAGUUAGAGGAGCUGCUGCUGAUACCCAGAACAGCUUGGGUCUUCUGGAGCUCUGAUUCAUAUGAGUUCUAAAGUCAUUCCAAAGCAUAAACCAGCAAACAGUGCAGAGAAAGCAACAAGUAAAAGCUGAAGUUGAUGCUAAUUAGCUUAGCACAUGUCGAUCACUACCAUGUUCUGAUCAUCGAUCUCUUAGGAAUUGAAAGGGAGAGCUAUCAAGCAUAAGGAUGGAAUUAGAGCUUACUAUAUGCCUUGCCACCAACAGAAAAACCAGGAAUGAGAGCCCCAUCACUACCGUUUGCCAAGCCCACUGCUCAAAACAAGAAGAGAGAUAAAGAUCAGCCGACUGCAUCACUGGAAUGAUCCCCAUCUUGGUGGUGAAGUGAACUAUGCCAAGCAGUCCUUUGAGCUGCUGAAGUGAUACGAUGACCGCUGCACCUCCCAUGAAUCCUGUCAACGUCGGUUUCGAUAGAAAGUCCACUAUGAAACCCAACCUAUAAGCACCGGGCAUCACUUGUGAGAUCAAGAUUUACUCAAAACAAAAUUCUAUGUAGUGUUCUUGUGGCGCAAGCAUUGUAUACCUCAGAAGACCCAAGCUGGCUUCGAAAACACCAGCAAAGAAAGUAGCUGUGAAAGCUAGUUGAAGAUACAAGAUAGGCUCCUUGUCAGGAGAGACCACCUCUCUCAGCAUGGAUCCCAUCACUAGAGAUGCAAUGGAUACCGGGCCAACAGCGAGAUCUCUUGAGCUCCCAAGAACAGAAUAGAUCAAGGGUGGCACAAAGCUGGAAUCUGUUGCAUCCGAUCCAGUAUAACAAGAUCAAUAACAUUCAUUGGUGUUCAUCCUGGUGUUCUUAUGAGCUAGUUUCAGUAGAUGGUUUGGACUUACAGAGGCCAAUAAUGGGAGGCAAACCUGCAAGCUUAGCGUAGCUUAUUCCCUGUUACAGAGAACAGAGAGGACAGUAAGUCUUUCUACACAGGCACAGGCAAUUUAGCAUCGGUAAAGCUUCUCAUACUUGUGGGAUAGCCAAGCUAGCAAUGGUGACGCCUGAGAUGGCAUCAGACUUGAGGAGGCGAAGGCUGUAUUCAGAGCCCCACUGGAAGAUUGGGAAGAGAUACUGGAGAGCCAAGACCAGCUUCCGGAACAAAGACUUGUUCUUGAACUGGUGGAGGGGAUCAUCAGGGAAGAAGACCUCGGAAAGCCUCUGCUUGAGAGAUUGGAGGGUGGGGUUGUCUUGUGGAGCAGGGACCUUGUGGACUUCCAAAGGUUUCAAGCUCGGCGUGGGGAUGGGCAAGGAUGCUUCAAGUUCACUGGCAUAUGGGAAGCUCUCCACUCUGUUGGAGCUUCCCACCAUGUUUGAAGGGAAGAAGGAGAGCAAAUCAAGGACCAACACGGGAAUGCGACAAGGCACAUGAGCUUGGAGAAACAAGCAUGACAAAGGAGCUACUUAUAGAGUGGUGGAAGAACAAUGUGAUGAACCACCCUAUUUUCCCUUCAAUGAAUGAAGUCCUCAUGAUUUGCCAA